GAGGGGCGCCAAAGGAAGUGACGUGAGCGGCGGUGCGGCCUGGGGACUGCUGACCGAACGUGGGCUGGCAUGUCGGCUUUGACGCGUCUAGCGCCUUUAGCGCGCGUUGGAGGCCACUUCUUCAGGGGCGUACCCGCGCGGGCGACUGGAGUCCGUCAUGCUGGUGGAGGUGUGCAUAUCGAGCCCCAGUACAGGCAGUUUCCCCAGCUGACCAGAUCCCAGGUGAUCAAGGCAGAGUUCUUCAGUGCAACCAUGUGGUUCUGGAUUCUCUGGCGCUUUUGGCAUGACUCAGAUGCCGUGCUGGGCCACUUUCCAUAUCCAGAUCCUUCCCAGUGGACGGAUGAAGAAUUAGGUAUCCUUCCUGAUGAUGAAGACUGAAAAUGUAGACUCAACUCUUUCCAAGAGCCAGGUGUUGGGAAUACCAUGCUAAACAAGACAGAUGAGAACGUAGAUUUUAGGAAGGGCAGACAAGUAGAACUAUUCUGUAGAAGAGGCUGACCCGGGUACCUUUUGCCACCAAUCUCAUCAGGAGCUUCAGCAGGACAUCAGUGUACAGUGGAGGAAACAGGAGCUGCCUGAGCUGGUACUGACCUGCCUGAGCAACUGGGCCUUUACCUUUUAUCACCUGCAUGAGCAGUGGGCUUGCUUGCCUGGAGAAGACAGAAGGAGCAAGUGGAAUACACCUGGCACAAUAUCCAUUUCUAGCUACAAACUCAAUGUCACUCAAUUUCACUAUAACCAUCAUCACAACCACAACAGAAUUUUAUACAUACAGUAUAUAUAAAAUGCAUAGUAGUGAUCUUGGAAACAAAAGUCAUGACUGAGUCCUGGCUACGUGAGACUGGGGAAGUCAUCCCUGGGGAUUCAUAUUCAGUAGCUGAUGAGGGGACCAUGACAUCUUUAAGGCUGAACCAUAUAAACUUUUUUUUGGCCGUGCCUCGCAGCUUGCGGGAUCUUAGUUCCCCAACCAGGGAUUGAACCUGGGUCCCCUGCAAUGGAAGUGCAAAGUCCUAACCACUGGACUGCUAGGGAAGUCCCUAAACCAUGUAAUCUUUAAGAACUCUUUUGGCUCUAACAUUUUACGAAUCUAGGAGAACUACACAGCCCAGACAGUAGGCCCAAUUACUACAGCCCCUGAUAAAAUUUCAGAAGAGCUAGUAUGGUAGGGUUCUUUAUAAUAGAAUUUUAUCACAAUAAUUAAAGGAUUCAUAAUUCUGGACUAAAUUUUAAGGAAAACUUAUAGAAUAAUGCACUAAGAAAUGAAUCCACAAUUACCCUACUGUAAUCAUGUAUGAAGGUUAUUUAAAAAUGAGUUUCUGUAAUUAUUACAGAAUUACAUUUUUCAGAUGAGAAAACUGCAGUUCAGAGAAAAUACUUGUCUCAACAGCAUUUUAUGAUUUGCUGGAGAGGCAUGAAGACCAGAAACCAGAUUCCUCAAAUAUGUACCAUCUUGAAGACUUUUCUGUUUAUAUUUUUCUCAGACAUAGGGUUUCCAGGUAAAGUCUUAAAAUUGUUUACCUCUCUUCUGGAAACUGCCUGGUAAUAUGACAUAGCCUUGAUGAUAUUCUAGGUGUCUUUCAAGCUUUAUGAAAUCAAAUGCAUAAAAUCAACUCAUGGGGGAAGGUAGCCAGCAUUAAAAAAAAAAAAGUGUAAAACAGGAGUGCAUAGUUUCAAAUACAUGUAUUUGUGUGUACUGUGUUCCUAUAGAAAAUGUAUUACUGGAAGUUGUGUCAAAAAAGUUUGAAAGAUACCAAAGUUCAGAAAAUGGAACUUCUACAGACUACUACUUAAACGACUCUAUUACAGCACACACUUCAUUUGAGCCACUGGAGGGGAACAGUCAGAUCACAGCAUCAUAAAAUGCUUGAGAAUAAUCACCAACACCAGACAAAAAACUCUCUGCUACAAAAGUAUAGCCGGUGCAAUGUACUAGGUAUUCAUCUUGACAAUUUACUUUUAAAAUAUUUCUCAUAAAUACCUCUGCCCACCAAGCGGUAACUGGAAACAAUGUACACUUCUUAGUUCCUCCACUGCCUGAUAGAACUGACCGUCAAAAGCCCUACUUCCAUUAUUGAAUGUGACGGUGCUAGAAAAAUGAUCUUGAUAAAGACUUCUCCAUGCAGUCAAUCUUUAUUAUAGCAGUAUUCGCAUAUUCACAUCAAGUACAUAGAACUUUUUUGCCUUUUAUAUAGUACAGAGUUUUUAAAUAACUUUACACAGAAAUAAAUUUCUUCAAUCUGAAUUUCAGCUAUCUUUUUUUUUUAAUUCUCCAUGCUUUCUAUCCAAACUGAACAAUAUUUUCCAUUGUACAAAUUUACAUGAGAAAAACUCCAAAAUACAAGUGAAAGGACCUGAGCAGGAAAGAGAACCCAAAGUAUCAAGAAGCGGGGAUGGGGAAGAAUUGAAAAAAAAAAAAUUCAAGCAAACACUGAGGAUUAAGGGACAAGAGGGAAACAUCAUCCGUUUGACUGAAAAUAAAUGUCUUUUUUUAUGAAUUGAAAAAUAAGCUUUAAAAAUAGUUACUCCUUUGUAAUUUUCGCAAAGCAGGUAUAGAGAGGUCUGUGGACAAUUAAAAAGUCCCCAUCUUUUCACUGGGCACACCCCAGACUCCAUGAGAACCUUUUCAAUGCUUGAGUGGAACGGAAGUGAACUAAACCCAAACCUCUGGCAGCAAGAGAGGAGAGGAAUGUGAAUGUGAAUCGCCAUAAGGUUUGGAGUAAACCAGGGGCCAUUAACUCACUGCAGUUAAAACAUGAAGGAUUUCCCUUUCCCCUCUCUUACAGAAGAAUUGUCCUCAAACCGAGAAAUAAGUGAAAGGCGGGGGGUGGGGGUGGGGCGCGGAUUUCCUUUUUCUUGGUCCAAACCAAAGAGCAAUCAUAACUACUAAAUAGAAUUCAAAGGGACAUAUGUUAAACAGUUAAUUUCAAUCUCCUCAUAGUUGUACACUCCUAUUUUAGAAGAAACAGCAAUUGCUGAGUGAGGAAAGGGUCAGAGUGCACAACAAAUGAAUGAGCUAUGUCACUGUGAUAGAGUCCUUCAAAUCAGGCGAUAUGAAGGCCAAGCCGAGACUAUAACCUGUGGCAUGGCCAAAGGAAACACACAGGACCCAACAAAGGCGUUUUCAAACGAAGGAGGGAAAAUUUACAGCAUACACACACAUACACACCCCUGGAUGUAAACUAACAUAACAUGAAGAUAAAUAAGACAUAAAGGUUAGCCAUUUAUGUUGGUAAUUAACAUGAAUAAAAAGGCAUUAUAUGUUUACAUAGCUGGUUUUAAUCAGCUACAGAACACAGGCAAAUGUAUUAGGAAGGAAUGAUUUUUUUAAAAACCCGUUCACAGCUUAGAAUAAAAAGCACACUUAUUGCACUCUUACAUUUUAUUUCAGGUAAUUAUAGUUUAUUUCCCACCCUCACAUCAAUUCUUCUCUACCCCUAGACUUACUCCCAUACCCUCCCCCCUCCCAUUUUGGUCCAUUUUGUCUACACCUGUGCCUAGACUGUGAGCUUUGUUGCUUAUGCUAGUCUGACGUUUCCUCUUAUGUAACACAUACUCCACCAAAACACAAGUGGGUUAAAAAAAGCUUAACACACAAAUGUAACACAAUAAUUCUCAAAACAAAACCAACUUACUAAGCAACUUACUCAUAAGCCCUAUCUCCACUCCUGUAAACAGAACACUUCCUCUGCUCUACCUCUUCAGUGAAUUUCAUGCCCGAUUCACAUAGAUUCUGUGAUGAGAACCAGCCACUCGCGGGUGCUGGACAAUGUGCUCAGCCUGCCAGGAGAAGCAGAUGGUUUGCACAAAUCUUUUUUUUUUAUGCUAACAUGAAUAAACAUAUUUUAGUUCUUUGUUUUCAAAGAGUACUUCAACCUACAGAAUUCUUAAGAAAAAAAAGCAUCACAAAAAAACCCAGAUACACUCACUGGCUGUGUCCUCAUGCACAACUGGUUAUAUCAUUGUAAUUAGUCAAAACUGCUAAAUAAACAUUUUAAUGAAACUGAUUUAGUAAUAAGACUAAGUUAACAGUUGGGUAAAGGGGGUCAAAAGGUUAAAAAAAAAGUAUUACAAGAACAACAGCUGAAAUUGUGGAUACUGAAAUAAAUGAUACACUCAAUCAAUUUUUUGAGGUAGAGACUAACCACCCCUAAGCGUUCUAAAAUAAACCACUGUUACCUUAAUUUAAGAUUUUAGUACUUAUAUUUCUGUCCUCUUCUACAUUAAAAACACCUGAUAGAAACUGUUAAUUGCCACAACUGGCAAAAUUUAGGACUGAAAUUCAAUUUAAAUGUUUUCCCAAACAGAAGUGAAAAUUGAUUAUCUUCAAACAACAAAACAAAGCUUACUCUCUAGUGUACUAAUAAAACAAAAAUCUUACCAGUAUUUUCAAUUUACCAGAGCUAGCAACAUGGAAUACGAACGAGUACACUGGCCACUUCAUUCUCCUCUGGGGGCCAAUAUACAAUCAGGCAGAGAUGCUACUGCACCCUUCGGGUGCUCAACAACCUAUGGGCAUUAGUAAUACUCCUUAGUGAAACGUCUAGAGAACUUGCUGAAGCCUUUCUUGGGGGUGGCAAGGAAUCAAGAUACUAGAAGCACACCAUGGAGUGUGUCCAGUUCACACCCGCCAGCCUUAUGUCCCCUCAUAGAGGAGCCCUUGGAGAUUCCACCUGGCCCCCAGAGCACCUUGAACAGCAUUAGCAAGACAGUCCCACUUAAUUUGCAAACAAAUCCUGAGAGGCAAGUUUAUAUUUCAAACUCUGGAAAAUCAGUGUCUAGGUUGGCAGCAGUACUAUGGGAACUGAGAAAAUCAAAUUCUGUCCUAUAUGUUAAUUUCAUCCUUCUCACUAGUUAAUACAUGACUGCUGCCCAGCAUAUAGUGACUUCAACCCUAAACUAUAGCAAUUUCUUAAAAUGUCUGUCAAACAUUCCUGUUAUAUAAAAGUUCCAUGCUUUGAAGAACCUAUGGGAGUAGAAAAAGUUUCUCUAGAAAUGUCACUGCAUUAUGAUUUCAACCUAUUUGCUCUAUGUGAUAAAUAUAUCUGACUAUACUAGGGAUUAUGUGCUUUAAAAAAAUAAUUUUGUUCACUGAAAAUUUACCUGUGUGUUUUCUCAUUUUUUUAAACAUGAUUUUGGCUAUAAACUCUUUAGUGCAUUUAUCUUUGCAGUCUAAAUUGCACGCUAAAAAAUAUUAACACAGCUGAGUUAGACCAGGGUGGCUGCUCUCUUCACAAAUCACUGAUUUCUGCUAAAAUUUUAGCUUUUUUAUUGCAUCAUGAAGGCACAGUAAGAUCAUUUGGCAAAUUGUCAAGGUAUUUUUCUAGAGCCUUACCUACACCAUCUCAAUGUAUGACCUGUAAGCUAUUUGCUGUUUAUACUCACAGUAAACUUUCCAUGUCUGGC